UACGUAGGGUGCGAGCGUUAAUCGGAAUUACUGGGCGUAAAGCGUGCGUAGGCGGUUGGCAAAGUCAGCUGUGAAAGCCCCGGGCUUAACCUGGGAAUGGCGGUUGAAACUAGUCGACUGGAAUCUGGCAGAGGGGGGUGGAAUUCCACGUGUAGCAGUGAAAUGCGUAGAGAUGUGGAGGAACACCGAUGGCGAAGGCAGCCCCCUGGGCUGAGAUUGACGCUCAGGCACGAAAGCGUGGGGAGCAAACAGG
rnacentral:rRNA from 1 species